AUUGAACGCUGGCGGCAGGCUUAACACAUGCAAGUCGAGCGUGGGAAGGUAGCUUGCUACCGGACCUAGCGGCGGACGGGUGAGUAAUGCUUAGGAAUCUGCCUAUUAGUGGGGGACAACAUCUCGAAAGGGAUACUAAUACCGCAUACGUCCUACGGGAGAAAGCAGGGGAUCUUCGGACCUUGCGCUAAUAGAUGAGCCUAAGUCGGAUUAGCUAGUUGGUGGGGUAAAGGCCUACCAAGGCGACGAUCUGUAGCGGGUCUGAGAGGAUGAUCCGCCACACUGGGACUGAGACACGGUCCAGACUCCUACGGGAGGCAGCAGUGGGGAAUAUUGGACAAUGGGGGGAACCCUGAUCCAGCCAUGCCGCGUGUGUGAAGAAGGCCUUAUGGUUGUGAAGCACUUUAAGCGAGGAGGAGGCUACUCUAGUUAAUACCUAGGGAUAGUGGACGUUACUCGCAGAAUAAGCACCGGCUAACUCUGUGCCAGCCGCCGCAGUAA
rnacentral:rRNA from 1 species